rnacentral:rRNA from 1 species
GAUGAACGUUGGCGGCGUGGAUUAGGCAUGCAAGUCGAGCGAGAAUCGUAGCAAUACGAGGACAGCGGCGAAAGGGAGAGGAACACGUGGAUACCUACCCUCAGGUUCAGGAUAGCUAUGGGAAACUAUAGGUAAUACUGAAUAAUAUCUCCGGAUCAAAGGUGUGAUUCCACCUGAGGAGGGGUCCGCGUCCUAUUAGCUAGUUGGUGAGGUAACGGCUCACCAAGGCGAAGAUGGGUACGGGAUGUGAGAGCAUGAUCCCGCUCAUUGCGACUGAGACACUGCCCAGACACCUACGGGUGGCUGCAGUCGAGAAUCUUCGGCAAUGGGGGAAACCCUGACCGAGCGACGCCGCGUGCGAGAUGAAGGCCUUCGGGUUGUAAAUCGCUGUCAGUGGGGAGGAAAUGCUGGUGGGUUCUCCCAUCAGUUUGACCUAUCCGCAGAGGAAGGACGGGCUAAGUUCGUGCCAGCCGCCGCCGUAA